GACAUUUGAAGCUUUAAUUUCUUUUUUUAAAAACCUUUCUAUCUUUAUUACUCGCGUAGUUAUCGUCAUUGAAAGUUUAGUAAUUUUUUGACAAAUUUUAGGUGUACCACUUUUUUUUCGACUGAGUGUAUUUUACAGUGCAAAUUUAACCAAUUUUCACUUUUUUUACGUGGUUAAAAGUAAAUCCCGACAUCACAAAACUAAUCGUGUGUUAGAUUUGGAUUCAGCACAUCAAUAUAUAUCACUGGUUAACGUUUCCAUUAAAUUCCAGCCGAGAAUUAAACGAUUUCUCCAUACAAAGUCAAGCUCAUCCCGAAUUUUCAUAUUUUUUGAGGUUAUGAAAAAUUGGGACCUGAUGGAGUGAAAUGGACCUCGGAUUCGGAUUCAGCGCAUCAAAAACCAGAGGGAUAGGUAAGUGUAGUUUCUCGGACAUUGAACUUUUUUUUGUGUGGCUGUGUUGUCGGAGUCACAACAAAGCUGUUUACCAAGAAACUUAUAAAAAAAUAUCAAAAUUCGGAAAAGUACCUAUUGUAAAUAAUUACCAAUAGCGCUAUUAGUGGCAUAAAACAUGCCAUAAGUAAGACUUAUUUGACUUUAAAGUUGACACAUGGGUACAUUGUAUCAUGUGACAACCGAGGGUUAAAACAUCAAACGCUGAGUCAUCCAAAAACAAUGAAUAAAAAUAAAGAACUCGUUAACAAUAGUUUUACCGCGGCGUUGUUGCUUCGAAUUCAGUAUACAUCGUUAACUCACUGUAGUAUUAAAGAAAUUCACUAGGUUUUAUUAUCUACUACGAUUGUACUAACGCGUGAUCGUGACGGAAUCCUGUACAAAUGUCGAACCCUACUAGAGUAAGUCUCAAUCCAAUUUCAUUACUCGCACUUUUAAUCGCAUGCUAAAUUUAAACUCUGAAAACAUUAACGUUACCUUCGCGAGCAUGAGUAACGCGGCGAUAAACACCAUGGAGCAAAUUCAUGCUACCAUUCAAUUUUGAACAAGGACUUACCAAGCCAAACUUGCCUUCAUCAUUAUUGAUAAAAUAACUAAAAAACCUACCAAGGGUAGAUACAGAAUUAAGCAACAUUCCGCUGUGCUUGGAAAUUGAUGAUCCCAAAUUUUAUCUGCCAAAAGAGAUCAACAUAUUAUUAGAAACCUCUAUAUUCUGUUAUGCAGCAAACGUAUCAAGUAAACAAGACAAGCACCUGUACUCCAGGAAACGCAACUGGGAUGGAUAAUAUCUGGGAGCAUAAUGUCGAGCAACAAGGCGCAUUUUAACAAAUCUUACUGCAGCGUUGCCACAACACAUUUCACAAACAGCUUGAAAUGUUCUAGCGGACUGAAAAAGUGGAAAUAUGUGCGCCAUUAUCCCAAGAAAAAAUACAAUAUAAAAAACAUUUUAUCGAUACACACGCCUGAGACAAUACGGGCCGUUUCAUUGUACAAUUGUCUUUAAAGAACAAUGUAAAGGAUCUAGGUGAAUCCUACGGCAUAGUUGAAAGGUGUUUCAAAUCCUUGGAAUAAGCUUAAAAAAAUGCCUUAUUUAAGGCAGCAAUAUUUUACGCAUCACGAUUUUAUGAAGAAAUAUCUCCAGUUAGGUUACAUGGAGAAAGUUUCAAAGAAAAGAUUCGUUAAAGGUGCCUACUACAUCCCACACAACGCGGUGGUCAAAAAAGACAGCACUACCACCAAAACAAGAGUAGUAUUUGAUGCCUCAUGCAAGACUGUCUCGGAAAUACCCCUGAACGAUUGUUUUUUAACAGGACCAACGAUACAAGAUGAUUUGUUCGACAUCAUUUUACGCAUAAGCGUAUAUCAUUUUACGCAUAGUCCUCAAUAUGCCAUGUCAGCAGAUAUUGCCAAGAUGUAUCGGCAAGUUAAAAUUGCAAGAAAAAAUCGUCAUUUAUAACGCAUUUUGUGGAGAUAGAACACGCAUGAACCUAUACGCAUCUACCACUUAACACAAUCACGUAUGAUAUGUCCAGCUCUCCAUUCUUGGCAAUUCGGUGCCUGCAGGAAAUAACAAGGCAAAAUAAAGAACAUCCCAAGGCAAGUCAUAAAAUCUUAAAAAACUUUUACGUGGAUGAUCUAUUGACGGAAGCAGACACUACAAAGGCCCUUCAGCAAUUAAAAUGUGAAAUUAUUAUAGCAUUCUCUCUAAUGUCAAUUUCACUCUUAGAAAGUAGAAAUCUUAGGUGUAAUAUGGAACACAACAACCGAUACUUUUCACUAUGGCUUAAAACUAGAAAAUGUCAAAGAAAAACUAUCAAGCGAACAAUAUUAACCAAAAUCGCACAAGUGAUUCUCUCGGAUAGUUAGGACCCAUAACAGUCAAGGUAAAUAUAAUAAUGCAACGCCUGUUGCAGAAACGCAAAAACUAGAGCAAAAGAUCAUCAGAGAAGUACGCAAGACGUGGACACAAUGAAAAUCGCAAUUGUCACAGAUCCAGCUCAUCACCAAGAAGAGUAAUGUGCGAUAAUCCAACAAAGAUGCAGAUACAUGGCUUCUGCAAAGCUUCGGAAAGCACAUACGGUGCCUGCUUAUAUAUACGCAGGGUCAAUAUCUAAGAAGACAACAUAGUAAGAUUGUUAUGUGCCAACGGAUAGCUUCGUUAAAACGAGUAUCGUUACCAAGGUUAGAGCUGUAUGGAGCUGUCCUAUUGACAAAUCUGAUAAAAAAAGUGGUUCAAGCUUUAGAUAUCGCAAAACAAAACGUUUAUUACUGGAGCAACUCUACAAUUACUUUGGCGUAAAUAAAAAAUAAGUGAAAUACAUUUGUAGCUAAUAGAAUGAUAAAAAUCUAGCAAAUCAUCAACGGGACAUCUUGAUAUCACGUAAGGUCAGAAGACAAUCCAGCGAACUCACUAUCAAAAAAAGUUAACCCAAACAAGCUGGAAAAAACGGACCUUUGGUAAACUGGACCAAAAUUUCUUAGGCACAACGUAUCGCUGCAACCAUACAAAAGCCAAGGCAUAAAAAACUUAUACCAAAAGCUCGCGUUACUAUGUAGUUCAAUCGUUCAUGCUACGACCACUGCAUUCGAUGCAACAAUCGUUAAAAGAUUUUCAUCUUUUACGAAAUUAAAAUAAGUCAUAGCCUAUUGUUUAAGAUUUUAAAACAAUUUGUCAAAACAAGCUAAACAUACAAAUGGAUGGACCAUUAACACUUCAAGAAAUAAAGCAAGCUAUAACAACAAUCAUUAAAAUCUGCCAGACAAACAAGUUCGGUCAAGAAUUACAAAGCAUUAAGAAUAACCUUCAAUUAAAUUCGAAAAAUAAGCUUCUAAUCCUGCAUUCUUUUAUCAAUAAUGACGGCAUCGUUCAUGUUGGAGAAAGGUUACAUCACGCACUAUUAGAACAUUUGUAAAAACAUCCUAUCGUAUUAUCAAAACAUCACUUAAUAAAAUUAAAAAGAUGUACAUUAUAAAAACCAGCAUGUUGGCACGCAACCCGUUCUAGCCAUGUUGCGCGAAGAUUAUUGGCUGAUAACAGGCAAAAGCUUAGUUCAAGUUUUAAAAAAUCGCAUUGUGUGCUUUCGUACAAAACCGAUUAGCUCGAGUCAAUUGAUAGAUAGUCUGCCAACAGUUUGGACAACGCAAGCUAGAAUAUUUCUUAAUAAGAGCUUAGAUUACGCUAGUCCGUUCAGUAUAAAAAUAUCACGUAAUAAACUGACAAGGCUUAUUUCAUUUGUUUAGCAACAAAAGCUGUUCCUUUCAAGCUAGUGACGAGUUUAAGUACAGCCUCAUUUCUUAACGCCUUAAAGAGAUUUAUUGCUCGGAGAGGAAAAUGUGCUGGGUUAUACUUAGAUAACUCUAUUAUGUCCACAGGUGCGAAUAAUUAAUUCACGGAUAUAAUAUAAAAUAAUACAAAUAGUACGCAUUCAAUAACUCGCUAAUAUGUAUAAAAAAUAUAUAAUGUAAAUAAUAAAUAUGCUCAAGUAGAAAAAUUUUAAUGAAAUUUCGAUAAACUUGACAUUCCAAAAAAUAUAUAAUAAAAUAUAUAUUUUUUAUGUGUACGUGUGCGUGAGUGUGUGUUGUGUAUUAAUUUAAAAUCAGAAAUAUAUAUAUUUAAUAUCAUCUGUACAGGCUAACAUUAGAUGUUUGUGUGCAUAAUUAUUAUAAUUUUACAAUCACCAGCAUAUACAUGGAUCGACAAAUUUAUCAGUCUUAAAACAAUUUUUUGGUUGAAAUAUGUAAUAUUAUAUUAAAUUGAUUAGCAAUUUAAUAUCUUUUGAUACUAACAAGCAUUUGUAAGAUAUUUUUCUUAAUUAAAUCUUAGAACAAAUUGUAAAGAAAUUAUUGCAAAAAAUAUCUCAACAGUUUAAAAAAAUUUAUUCCUUCGAUUGCUUUAGUUCUUCAAAGAUGAAUUUACCACAGUAAUAGAUAUUUAUUGUCUAAACAAUCAUGUUCGGUAAAAAAUUUCUGCAUUAAAAAUAUAAAAUUAUGUAAAAAUAAAUUGCAAAACCCCCAAAAAUAUAAAAAAAAACUGUAAAACGAAAAUAAUUUUACAGUUCCAGCGCUAUAAAUUUAGCAGGACCCGAUUACGGUUUAUGAUUUUGGUCCGGCUAAAAACCGGUCAUAAAUCGGUCAUUGGUUUCGGUUCGGUCCGAAUCCCUGGUUUUAACAAAUGUCAGUUUAAAAAAAAAAUCUAUUGUUAGGAUUUUUGUCUAUAAGCCAUAACAUUUAAUUUUUUUACGUUCAGCUUAUCUUUCUUACGUUAAAAACUCAACUUUGAGGAUUCAUAGCUUAAGUUCGGCACGGUAAAUUGUUUUAAAAUUUCAACCAGUUAUGCGAAACAGCUUGAUAUACCUGAACAACAAUUUCUUUCAAAAUCUACUGAAAAUAGAUUUUGGCACAUAAUAUCUUAAUUAGAUCAUUAUACAAAAAGAAUAAGUUAAGUAAUGGUACAGGAGUAGGAUAAUAAGAAAAAUGUAUAAUCUAUAAUAAUUGAGUUUCCUAGUUAAAGUGCAAAGAUUUUGCAAUUUAAAUAUGCUAUUUCCGAUGCUUUCCCGGUGCAACACCGAUAUAUAUUCAUUUUAACAUUAAAUAUAUUUUUAUUUUAUUCUGUAUUUUAUUUUCUGUAUUUCAUUUGAUGUUUAUAAUCUAGUUAAAUGCUCUCGUCUAAUUUUUCCUACGUACAAAAUAUCCCAUUUUUUCUUAUUUAAUUGAUUUUUUCUGUAUCUUCUAUUUUCCCUCUUUUUCUCUUUCUUUUUCUUUCUUUCUCCCUGUCCACACAAAAUUGUGAAUAAAUUAUGGAUCUAGUAAAACCUACACUUCCAUGUUCCAAAUAGAUAAUUGCGGAUAGUUUCAAAAUCUGUGAAAACAUUUUAAGAGAGAAAGACAUUUUAUCUGCCAGUCCAAAUGAUGCAGUUAUUUCACAAGAAGCAAAAUUUCUUGGUAAAAAUAUGGCGGAAGUUCUCGAGGAACUUUUAGAUAAUUAUACGAAGAAAGCGUGGAAUGUUUCUUGCCGGAUGAAAUUAUCGCGGAAGAAGCGAAGAAAGAAGCUUUGGACAAAAACCAACAAAUGAGUAUUUCAUCUGAUAUUGAUAGCGAUGAUUUGGACGACUAUGAUUAUGAACCGGAACAAAAAACAAGUGCAUCAACAAUUUCUUUAGACAUAAAAAUUAAAAUGGUGCAGAUGACCAAAAAAAUCCGCGAUGGAGUCUAUCGACACUCCAACAGAGAAGAAGUACAAGACUUCAUUAAAGUUUGCAUCAAAUUUAAUUAAAGAAAAGAAAGUAUUUUUAAACGUAAAUCAAGUGUGUUUUCCUGCAGAGUUGGGUAAAAAAAUUGUAUAUGUAAUAAUAUUCCCUUUAUUUCUUGUGUACAUUGUACAAAAGUUUUAUGUUUUAAAUGCUUUUAUAACGAUUAUCACCCUAAAAAUUAUAAAGUGUAAUUACCUUUAAGACAUUUUUUUUUCUUUUAUUUAUUUCUUUGGUUUUUCAUUUUAUCCAUUUAACUUGUUUAUUUAUUAGUUCGUAUGUUUUUUAUCACUUUAUCUUUUUGCUUAUAUAAUUUUUUACUUUCUUAUUAAUAAAAAAAAUUUUUUUUUUUUAAAGGUAAAAAAAGCUUCGACACCAGCCGUGAACCGCGAUUCUACGGAACAGUAGCUCGACGCUCUACUCCCUGAGCCACAUAGACUUUGCGAUAUCGACGGUUAGAACGUUAAAUAACGAAAAGUAUCUAUCUUUAAUUGCUUAUAAUUCAUCUUCUAAGGCUCAUUCAGAGAAAUGGCUUUACAUGUAUUCAUUGAAUAGUAUUUUCUAUUAUUACUGCAAGUUUUAUCCAAUUUGGUGAAGAGUAGCGCGUAGUGUCCCCUUGCAACUUAAAUAAUGACUUUGGGUUUAAAUUAUACAAUAAAAGUAUUUUAAUUUUUUUCUCUACACGUACUCAAUGAGUGAAGAUAUUGUGACGCAAAGUCAAAAAUAUAAUUUUUCACAUUAAGAUACGUCGUUGUCGUUAAUCUUGUGAACACGUAAGGGGAAAAAGACAAAACAAGGAAAUGUACGGUUCAAUUUCAACACAAGCAGCACCAGUUUCCUAUAAUAAAGUAGUAUUACAAUAGAUAUAUUGCGAUGCGAGCACUACUAGUGCUUUCACUAUCACUGUAUCGAUAGAAAGCGAGAGAGAAAGCAAAUAAUAAAAUAGUAGGUUUAUUCAUAUUGCGUGUACUUUUUGCACCCAACGGCCCGUACUCAGAAUGCGCUUCUAGAGACACUUUUUUGUCAUUUUAACACAAGAACUAAAAAUGUGCUAAUUUUCGACCAAAGCAUAACAUCUAAUAAUAAAAAUUAAAUAACUUUUUAGCUAAAAGAAAAUUGUGUCUAAAUUUUACAAAAAUAUUCAAACGUAAUAGCAUAUUCAAUAACAUUUUUAGUAAUACUUUAAAAUGACAUAUUCUUAAUAAUUGCUGAGAUAUUAUUUUCUACAAUAAUUUCUUUAGUUUUUUAAAGAAAAAAAUCUUAUCAAUACUUUUAAGCAUCAAAUCUAUUAAGGGGUUACAUACAUCCAAAAAUUUUGAAAAAUGCAUUUUUCGUUUUUUGCAUAUUUGUAAAGUAUAAGGUCUUGAGAAUAUCCCCUGCAAGUUUCAAAGUGAUUCCUUGAAAAUUGUCGGAGAUAUAGCGACAAAUGUCCAAGCGCGUUCGACGACGCUGGGGCGCGAUGGGCGCCUUCUAAUCCUUUGCAGCAGAUAGCUUACGCAAGAAUAUUACGGCAAGCUAGAAUAGAAGUUUUUGAUGCCGCUGCAUCUGGGUAGAGUUCACUGUAUGGCCUUAAAGUGGAUGACUCCAUGUAAGUUUAAAAAAAAAUUAUCUACGUUUUAACCAAAUGUCAAACUUUAAACGUGUUUUUUCUCGAAACUAUGUUUUCAAAACGCGUGCCAAAAAUAUCUCGAAAACGGCUGGACCGAUUUACUUGAAAUUUUGAGGGCUUAAUUUACACAAAAAAGCGUCUUUACCGUGACGUUUUUUAGAGCCCUUACUUUUUUUAAUUGAAAAGACCACCGAUUGUUAUCCUAAAAAAUCGCUUUUUUUCUUUAAACGGCCGUCAUUUUACCAAAAAUCGAUUUUUUUUAAAUCAGCCACAAUAAAGACUGGAUAAUAUCAUUCAGUUUAAGAAAAUUCUAGGCUGGUCUGUUUCAGAUAAGUCCUGUAUGAGCUGCAAUUGACACCGCGGAGCACCUUUUUUCAACAAGGUUUUGCGACGAAGACAAUAUCUCCGUCAUUUUUAAAUAUUUUUAAUUCAAAUUUAUUCUGAAACAUGUUCUAAGAAUGUAUUUUAAAGUAAAGAAAACUAGAAUUAAUUACAUACAUUACGUUUCAAAAAAAAAUCAAGAAAAAGGCCUAUUUUUUACGUCUCUGGGUGUAUGUAACCCCUUAAAUUGUUUGUUAAUUUAAUUGCAAGCUUACAUCAUGAUUGUGAAUAAUUUGUUGUAUAAGUACUUUAUUCAAGAUAAUUUAUGAAAAAUUUUAUUACGAUUUUAAGUUUAUUCCGUAAAUAAAUAAAUUUGUAUAAAACAAUUAAUCUCUACAUAACAGUAAACCCUUACAUAAACUCUCUAUUUAAAAUUCUUCUUAUAGAAGUACUUAUGAAAAUGUUAUAUUACUUUUAAGUGCGAUAAACUAAUCUGCAAUUCUUUCAAAAAAGAUAGGUAAUUUGUGAUGAGUAUUAAGGAACAUUAUUUAAGAGGACAUAUAAGAAGCCACAAAAAAAACUUCAUAAAUUGUUUUAAACUCAAGAAACUAAAAAAAUAAAACUUCUUACAUGAUAAAAUACAUCUUUUGUAGUUCUCACACAAAUUUUAUUACAAUGAUUUUAUUAAAAAAUCUCUCUCUCCCCUCCAUCGUCGUGUAGUUAGCCACGCGAUUUGGGUCAUGUUUGUAAUGUUUUUAUAGAUUUACGUAGAAAAUUAAGAUUCUCUAGAACGCAAUUUAUGAAAAACUAAAUCUAUAAAAAAAACUACAAACAUAGUGCAAAUUGCGUUGUUUGAAAUAAAAGUGACGUAGGUACAUACGUGGACAGGAAUGCCUAACCAUAUAAAGUUAGCUGCGUUCCAAAAUUUUUAUAGUGCUUGUAACGUAUUCUAUAUAGAAAUCAGAACACAGCUAACUUUAUAUGGCCAGACAUUCCUAUCCGCGUGCGUACAAUCUGUAAAGUUGUUAUUAUAUUAUAUUAAAUUGUUUUCGCUUUUAAAAAAUUGGAUACGACAAUUUACUCUUCUUUAAUCCAUUUAGGACCAAAUGUACACUAUUUUUUCUCCACGUUCAACGCUCAAACUUUUUACAUAGACGUCGUAGAAAAGAAAACUCAGCAUAACGUUUUCUGACACAGUCUGAAACUUCCUCUUUCGAAUGCCGGCGUCAGAAAUGACGUACAAAACGAGUAAAAAAAGUUAUGGCCCGUUUUUCCAAAAGAGCAACAUUUUUCGAUAUUUUUUUCUAAAAAUUCCAUAUUUUGGAUGCAAAAAUGUUUCGCAAAAUUAUUGCAAUAAGGAUAAAUCAUGGAAUAGAUAUCUGCUCUUUUAAAUCCUAUUGCAAUUUGUCAAAAAUUCAACAUGGCAAAUUUAAUAUGGUCAAAAGGUGGAAAAACCGUAUAUAACCGAAAUAUUUUCGAUCUUCUUGCUUUUUUCUCAUAAUAUCUCUUCAAAAUACUUUAAAAAUACAUAAGCUUAUUAUUUUAUGUAAGUCGAGGUUAUAAUAAUACAUAAUCAAUACAAAUAAUGGUGGUUUCUUUCAAGAAAUGCGAGAAAAACACGAUUCAUCGCCAAAUAAUGGAGAAAAGCCAUAAGCAAGUGUUCAUAUCUGGUAUUUCAUCAUGCUCACAUCUACGCAUACAUCUAUGUAUCAAAUAUAUAUAUAUAUAGAUAAUUAUCUUAUUUUUACAUUCUUCAGCCGUCAAAAUAUGUUGCCGUUGCUCGACUCUCACCGCAAGGAGGUAAAUGUGAAUUAAAGUCUUUCUUUGUUUUUUUAUUUUUUUGUUAUUUUGAAGGGGGUAUUUUUUCAAAUUUUAAUUUUUUAUAUUUAUUUUUUUUUAAAGAAUUUUUAUUUAAUUCCAACAUAUUAUAGAAUAUAAGCGUUCCUUCAUAAAUCAUGAAAUUUCCCGAAACAAGGCUUAAAAAAAGACAAACUAAAAAAACAAAAAAGAACUCCCUAAUUCAUAGUUACCCCCUCGCGGUGAGGGUCAAGUAACGGCAACAUAUUUUGACGGCUAAAGAAUAUAAAAAUAAAAAGAUAAUCAUCUAUAUAUAUAAUUUAUUUGAUGUACAUAGGUGUAUGAAUAGAUGUGAGAAUGAUAAAAUAGCAGAUAUAAACACUUACUUAUGUUUUUUUUCCAUUAUUUGGCGAUAAAUGUUUUUCUCGUAUUUCUAGAAAAAGAACCGCCAUUAUUUGGAUUGAUUAUGUAUUAUUAUAAUCUCAACUCACUAAAAUAACAAACUUGUGUAUUUUUAAAGUAUUUUGAAAAGAUAUUACAAGAAAAAGGCGAGAAAAUCUGAAAUAUUUUGGUUAUAUACGGUUUUUCCAUCUUUUGAUCGUCAUAUUAAAUCCGCUAUGUUAAAUUUUUUUUAAAUCGCAAUAGGAUUUGGAAGAGCAGAUAUCUAUUACAUGAUUUAUUUUUUAAAAAUUAUUUUACUAUCUAGUACUAGCGCCGUCGCGUCAGAUGGCAACAUCUAUCAGGCUAAACUAACCCAGAUCGUGGAGCGCCGUGUGAGCGCUGCUCGCGCAUGCCCGAUGGGCACCGCAGGCGACGGCGCUGCUUUACGUUCGUUUCCGGCCUCUCUGUUUUAAUGGCUACCGUGCAAAUCGUACGUGUGAGAUAGUGCGCAGAAAGUAUUCGAGCAGUUCUUCUCAUCUCGUGGACAUUCCGAACUCUCUCGAUUGUACUCAGUGACCAGGAUUAACUCAUUAGUCAGACGCAUCCAAGGACAUCUCCAGUACAUCACCAUCGUCCACUCAGACUCACCACGUGAAGCACAAGCCGGCGUCACGCGGCAUACACGGCUCAAGGGCAUCAACAUCACCAGGCCAGUACUCGGUUAAUAGAAUUGACCCGUGCGAAUGAUAACGGACUACACAUCAGUAAAAGACAUUUGUAAUCUCAUCUAAACGUAUCACUUAAACAGAAAAGGAGAAAUCGUUGUCACCGCGGAAUUAUGCACGGCUGACUACACGAUGAUAAAGAAAAAAGGAAUUUUCCAA